GUUUUGCAGAAGCUACAGGAGAAGCCUGGUGGAGAGGGGCUUGCAGAUGAGAGCGAGAGAAAACUACAUUUACAGUAAGGAAAAGCAUCAGGCACAGAGGAUCUCUCAACUCGGUGACCUUUGAAGUUGCAAGGACACACGGCCUAGACAGUGCAAGUUAAAAAAUGCCAGCUGAUGCUCACCUCAGCUUUACACAAAAACUGCCCUGGACAAACAGCACCAUCUCCACCUUGAGUCCAACCAGCACAGCCCUGAGCUGAGGGACAGAACAGGGCUCUGCAGGGCUUGGGACGCCGCAUGCUCGGCCUGUGACCUCGCAGCAUCCUUCUCCUGCAGAGCCAACCCACUUCCACCCGCACUGGGACCCAUUCCAGCUCACAUGGCUUUUCAAAAAUACAUCUGCAGCUCAAAAAUAACGUAAGGGUCACUACUUUAAAAGCAUCUCCAGAAUCAAUCUUCAGCCAAAAACGUUUUGAGAGAGUUAUGUAUGAAAUAAAACAAAUUGCACAUUUUGGUGAAAAGACCCCCACCAAAACACAGUUUUGUUGAAACAAAAACAUUAAUUAUGGCCAUUUUUGUUUUGAUGAAGUUCUUCCACUGCGAAGAUUUGAUAUGACUCCAAAUAAGUCACUUCUUUAAGUCUCAGGUUUUUCCAUUCCACUGGGAAUUCUUCUCUAAGGGCAGCUUUUUGAGUUUGGUGUUUCUGUUAUGUCUCCUUUUAAAUUUAUCUGAUUUUGUUUUCCUGAUGGCUUUCUUUCCCUGAAUGAUGCAGUGAAAUAUGAAUGGAAAAUUAUUCAAAUAUCCUGGCUCAACAAUUUAGGUAAAAAUAGACUCUGAGGACUAAAUAGUUCAGUAUCUCCAACAAUCUCUGACAUUUCCAACAGUAAGCUCUUUUUUCUUAAGUUUUUUUUCACAAUUUUUGAGUUAAAAUUUCAAGUGUGAGCCAUUUUAAAGUUGUGUUAUUUCUCCUUGAGGCAGAGCACAGCAAAAUACAUAAAAAAAUAUACUCUUUCGGUAUUUGAUUGUUGCAUUUACUCAUCAGUUGAAAUGUGAUACUCAUUUGUAUCCAUAAUUACCAAGGCACUGCCCACAUGCAGGAUAUUAUUU
rnacentral:lncRNA from 12 species